AAGUCGUAACAAGGUAACCGUAGGUGAACCUGCGGUUGGAUCAUUAAAAAUCCAAGGACUUUGGGUUGCUUGCAAUGCCAUCGUUCUAACUGGCCGAAAGGCCUUUAACCUUUUGUGAACCGUUUAUUGACUCUGGUCAGAUGCCUAGGCGCUGGCCAGUUAUUUUAACAUUGUUUUUUUGGUCUUAUCUUUGUAUGAAAUACUUACAACUUUUGACAAUGGAUCUCUAGGUUCUC
rnacentral:misc_RNA from 1 species